rnacentral:misc_RNA from 1 species
CUCUCUUGCUUUAUCGCAUUCUCUCACCUGUUGGCAAGAUAGGUUCUGAUCCCGAGUGAGUAAAAAUAUGGGGAUCCAUACAUUGAAAUACUUGAAAUUUUUAAUCACCUUCUACACCUAAAUAUCAAAAUACAGGAAGAUGGGUUUAAUCUCCUAUUACUUCUUCCUCUUUCCUGAGCCGACAUAAUCAUCCGUUGUCAAUUCUUACGUUUCUUUAGCAAGCUGGGACUCUCAGUUUGCCUUCCCGUAGCACGCUUUGACGGUGUUAUGUUCUUGGCAAGCUUCUUCUCUUUGCGUGCUUGUCUCUCUCUCUCAUCAUAUUCUUGGUUUUCCUUCUCCACCAACCGAAUUAGAGUAUCACAUCUCCUUGCGAGUUCUUGAGUUGUACGAGACUUCACAAACCAAUCAAAACGAAACAAAGGUGACGUGCGAAAUGCUGCCUUUAACUCAUCCCAGUUUCCAUAUCCAAGCUUGUGAACCAUGCAAAU